AAAGAACAGUACGCAACUGUUUAAAACAUGUUUUUAUAGCAGUUUAUUAUAAUGUAGGAAGACGCUCAAAAAAGGAGAAGAAAACAAUCGUCAGUCCCUGAAGACAAACUUUAGUCAUUACAAGGAAAUAAGGACUCAUAAGGAAUCAUAACUGGUCUCGAUGUGACAGCGAGGCUUCUCUCUUUUUACUUAUUCAGGAGUUUCCAGAGAAAACCCGGCCAGUGAGCUUCAAGCAUCCUGUGUUCCAGUGCUCAGACAUGGGUCCUUCUCCCUCUGUCCCCUCCUCAGGUCUGUCCAGGUGUCACCUGCUGACCUCAAAUCUUGUAUUGUUCGAGAGUUUGAACUAACGCUCUUUUUCUCUUUCUUUCCCUCUCCACCUUCCCUCUAUCCACCCCUCCAUCCACGCUUUUGUCUAGUUGAAUUUGUGAAGGCGGCGGAUAUCAAAGUCAUCGCCGCCUUGGGGGAUUCUCUGACAACGGCUAUCGGCGCCAACGCCACCACUGUCCUCGGCAUUCCCAUCGAGUUUCGUCACGUGUCAUGGAGGUGCCCGUCACAAAUCUCACACAAAUAACAAUCAGGAUGAUGUGAAGCAGAUUGAUCUCAUAUGAACAUGUUAGAAACUGUAUUCCCCCAUGAGAGUGUCAGUCUGUAAGAAACAAGGUUAAACUGACAUUAACACUUCUGCUGCUGGUAUUGCUUUCCUUUCUGCUUGCAGCAUUGGAGGCUAUGGGACAUAUCAAGAUGUCAUUACUUUGGCAAGUAAGCUGUCACUGCUGUGUCCGAGCUGUUUCUUAACUGUAUCGUUCCAUGAAACUCACAACGAGAAAAGUCCAGCUCAUUUUCUUUACCUGUUUGACGCUGUCAUUUUUAGAUAUCAUCAAGCUGUUUAACCCCAAUCUGCUUGGAGCUUCUCCUGGAAAGACAGUUCAUGGGAUGCAGGCUCAUAUCAGUGAAACGGGCUUCAACUUGGCCGUAACUGGACACAACACCUUGUAAGACCUUCGCUUACGUUCAUGUUGCCUAAUCUAAUAAAUUAUAUUUUUCUACAAAAAAAUCUGAGCUCUGACCUGAUUCACUUUAGAAAACACGUUAUUCUUUAUUUUGUAGCAAUCUGCCCGGUCAGACGAGACAUUUGAUAGACACACUGAGAGGUUACGAGGUAAGGCGAGGCCUUGUUUUCUCAGUAAUGAUACAGCACAGGGAUGGGAGAGGUAACGGGACUAUGGUCUCUUCCUUUAGGGUCUCAACUUUGAAGAGGACUGGAAGCUUUUGACUAUUCUCAUGGGCAUGAAUGACAUCUGUGAUUACUGCAAAGAUAAAGUCUGUCUUGGUCUUUUAUGUUUAAUUCAAUAGAAAAUCUCUCUCUAUAUAUGGAAUAUUGACUCUUCUAUUACCUCUGAUGAAUCUCUGUUCCUUCCAGGCUCUUUUUUCAGUCGAUAACUUCAUCCACUAUAUGACCGUCUCGUUGGAAAUGCUUAUGAAUGAGGUAAAGUCAAAGAUAAACGAAAUCAGGCUUAGCCCUGGAUUUACUGUCUGCUGAGAGUGAGGGCUCAGUGCUGUGCUGAAUCACCACAGUGCAGGUGUUUAUGCUGUGCUUCAAGGUUCCCCGUAUGAUUGUGAACGUGGUUCAGAUCCUCCCCAUGCAGACUUUGAGGGAGGUGCAGAAGCCCACCCCAGGGUGCUUGCUCCAGCGGUGAGCACUCUCUUUCUCUCUCAGAAAAAGUUCAGCUCUGGCUUGCUUGACACUUCUUGAACUUUUUACUUUUUAACUUUGAUUUAGGUCUUUCUGCUCAUGCCUGAUAGAGCCAGUAGCCAGAUCUCCUGAACUGCGGGAGCUGGUGGAGGUCAAUCUGGAAUUCCAGGUGCACUUUACUUCUUUCAUGUUAUAAGAUUAUGUAUUAUGUAAGGAAAGAUGAUAAAUUCUUCUUUCAUUUGGUUGCCACAUUAGAAGGAAUAUGGAAUCUUUUUUAAUCCCUCUAUGCAUCAUUAAAAAAAUCCUAUGUUUUUUAGGAAUAACAUGUUCCUUCUGUACAGCAGACUCUGAAUGUUAGGCUGCACAAAGAAGCUCGUCUGUAAAACACCUGCAGAAUCUUGAACUGCACACUCUGUUGUAUGUAAGAGCUAUCGGAGAUGAGAUUUCUAGGUCAGAAUAUGAGGAAAAACUGCCAUAAAUAUACAUGCACUGCUUAAAAAGACAGAAAGGAAUACUUUUUAAUCAGAGUAUAGCAUCAAGUCAGCUAAACUUCUGGGAUAUUGAUUAUUGAUCCAAUCAGUUAAGUAGCAGAGAGGGUUGUUAAACAGUUUCAGCUGCUUUAGUGUUAAUGAAAUUAACGAAAGGUGCACUAGAGGGGCAACAAAGAGACAACUCCUAAAACAGCAAUGGUUUUACAAGUGGAGGUCACUCCUCGUCUUUUUUCCUAUGUUUUCACUAGUUUAGCAUUUGGCUAGGGUCAGUGUAACUACUGGUACAUAAGGUGAUACCUGAACCCUGCAGAGGUUGCACAGGCAGUUUCCUGAGUCUCCCAGCAGAGUCUCAAGAGCAUGGAGGAGAUUCCAGGAGACAGGCAGUUACAG
rnacentral:lncRNA from 1 species